UACAGAGGUGGCAAGCGUUGUUCGGAAUUACUGGGCGUAAAGGGCGCGUAGGCGGCCCGUCAAGUCCCGUGUGAAAGCCCCCGGCUCAACCGGGGAACGGCGCGGGAAACUAGCAGGCUUGAGUUCGGGAGAGGGAAGCGGAAUUCCGGGUGUAGCGGUGAAAUGCGCAGAUAUCCGGAGGAACACCGGUGGCGAAGGCGGCGAUCUGGGUCGAGACUGACGCUGAUACACGAAAGCGUGGGAGCAAACAGG
rnacentral:rRNA from 1 species